UGUAAAUUCCAGUAAUUUUGUUCUCUUUCCCAGGGGAGUAGGAAGGUGCGCCAUUGGAGUAAAGGAAAGUGAGCGUAAUGGAAGCAAGUUUUGGGAUGUUAAUUCCGGCCACCUCAAUGCCGUUUGGACCAGGACGUGAGAAUAACAUGGAUAAAGGUUAUGAAAACAUACCAAGAAAGGCUUGUUGCUUUUCUGCGGCCUCCACGAAUAAUGUCUAAUGUGCCUUGUUCACUCAGCCUAGCCAAGCCGCCUCUCCCUCCUUCGCCACCUCUGCCUCCUGUGUCUAAGAAUGAACAAACGGAUCCAGGAAUCCCUGACUUCUUUGGAAAGUGGGGGUUAGAAUCAAAUAGCACCGAAUUCCAUCUUUUCUUUUCUGGUUGGGUACAGAAGGUGACCGCAGGGGCAUCCGACUGGGCCGGUAGGAUGAUGACCGGAAUGCGAGAAACGUGGUGGGGACCUGAGGACGAGGGUGAGCCUGGGAAAAAGGAAGAGACGUUAGAUGGGCGUUUCCAGAAUAGUUGGUACAGGGGAAAACGAACGCUCAGCGUUGCGAGGAUUUGAAUGUGAAAAUAGGACAACACAGCGCGAUGAUGGGGAUGCCGAAUAAUGCCCCUUUAAUUCCAGUUGGUAAGUUUGAGUGUAUUGAAAAAAAUGGGGUUUGUGCCUUUGGGUAAGGUUAAGCGUAGCCUCUGUAGUCAUAGGUGGGAGUUGAACACUGCUAAUUGCACAAGACCACAUCUUAAACCCGCUGCUCUCGUUUCAGGCAAACUGGGAUCUGUUUUAGUUGCAGGUUGUCCCUAUUUCGACCAGACUAUCGCGUUGGCAGAUCACUUCUGGUGGUGUGGAGGCCAACAGCUUUAUUCAACUUUGCCUAUAAGAUGGGCAGGUAGGUGUGCCCGGGUACAAGUUGCACAAGAGCUGAUUGCGUUUAGGGAGCAGGAUAAGGAUGUCAACAGCUGAAGUAAGCGGAGCUACCAACCAGAUCCCAGAGUUUACCUGGAUUCCAUUGGCCAACCCCGAGGAAUUCCAAACGAGUUUAAGGCAAGGAAUGAGAUUGCAUCUGGGUUUGAGUCUAUAUUACCUUGGAUAACGACGAAUCGCAUUACCGAGUGGCUGAACUUCAUUUUCUUUAAUCAGCAGCGCUUUAUUAAUUACACUGACGACGCGUUGGGUGCGUUGGGAGAGCAGGUGAGUGCCACAAGUGCGGUGGCGUGGCAGAAAAAGGAGGGGUGUGUGCGCUUGUGGGAGAAGUGUGCUGUACUUAUAUUCCAGGACACACGGCCCCGGAUGGGGCCUUCACAGAGGCCAUGAAGAGGCUGAGGUCGCUGAGGAUGGAGGUGAAAGAGGCGGCUGGCAGCGAUGCGAACUUGAGCUGGACAAACUGGCUGGAGAGUGUGGCCGGAGGAUGGAGACAAGGGCUGAUCAAACUGGGGGUAAUGAUUACUGUAGGAGUAAUAGCUUUGGGACUGAUUUUUUGUUGUUGUAUUCCUUUCUUGAGAUCAGUAGCGCUUAGAGCCGUGACCAAGCAGAAUUUGCAGAUGGCAGUUAUUGAGCUGGGAGAAAAGUAUGGAUGGAAGAGUGUAGGAAACGAGGAAGGUGACGUGUUUCCAGUUCCGGAAUGGAUCCACAUCACGACUCUAGACGAGGACAAGGACGAAGACAAGGACGAGGAUGAAGACUCCCAGUUGGUGUGAUGUUGAAAACGGCCUACGAUACGUCAUGAAGAAAAAAAAAAAAAAAAAAAGAGACUAAUCAUACUGAAAAUGAGCUAAGAUGGUUGUUUAAUGAAUUUUAAUACUGAUGUUUUAUUAGUUGUAAUAGUCAGAUUUAUCCUUGUAUUAAUAGUAGUAUUGGAAAUGUAUCAUAUCCUUGUGGUAGCAGUAGUAUUAGAAAUGACAUAGUAGUAACCAACUUAUAUAGGUCUCAUGAUUCUUUGUAUUGUUUCAUUGUGUUUAAUAGACUUAAUAGACCUGCUAUGAGGGUCUAAGUGUGUGAAACUUGUCAGUAAUUUGUUUUGUGUUCUUUUUUUUAGGGGCCGGUACUGAAUUCACCUGUUGAAUGUUCGGAGGUCAUCAAGCUGGCUGCCCUGAGAAGUCCCGUAGGAACAGUAUGAUGAAUUUGGCCAUUUUAAGUGAAAUGCCCACAUUGCUAAGGUUAAACAAAACGUAAAAUGGGGUUGGGACCUUGCUAGUGCUUAUCACUGGUUUAAGGUAGUUAAAGUAAAUUGGGCUUAGUUUAAUGGACAUUAUCUGUCCAUUGAGGGGGAAAUUCUGUAGUAUAUUCUGUUACUCUAAUGAGGUUAUUUCUGUCCACUGCAGCGAGGGUCAAGUUGACCGUGGUGUCAGAUUGGCCACUAAAACAAAUACGCUACUGCAGCUGUGUAAACAUGGACUUUCGAUGGACACGUAGGCACUUGCUGGUUGCAUAAACAACAAAGCUUUAUAUAGUGGGCAUGGGGAGAUGUUUCUUAGAGUGCUUCGCAGAGGGUCUGCUGCAGUCACCCAGCUGACCUUUUUCGACCUCUCAGUUUGUUCUGCAGACGAACCUCCAGGUGAAUUCGGCCACCACCUCUCUCAUGAUUAUUCUGUGAUUGUACUAUUUCAUUAUGUGUAAUAAAUUCAUUUGUUAAUUUGAGCA
ensembl:lncRNA